rnacentral:lncRNA from 1 species
UUUAUAUCAUAACACUUACCACACCUUUGCAUUUCAAUCAUUAAAACAACAUAUUUUCCUUUUUUACCAGCCUACUAGUAUCCAUGGGGAUCCAUAGGGGGUCCCCGCUACCCGUGAACCAUUAACAUUACAACCUGAUUCCAAGGCCGUCCCCAUACCCCGUCCGGUAUGGGCGCCAAAACCAUGAACCUCAAUACCCCGUUCGGUAUGAGGGUGAAACGGGCCGUCCCCAUACCCCGUCCAGUAUGGGCGCGAAAACACAUAAGGUCUCCAUACCCCGUCCGAUAUGAGAGACCACGUUCCUGGUAGGGUUCCCUACGGACCCGGUCCGUCCACCAUCUCCCAGGAUAUCUAGUCAGGCUGUACACAUUAUCCAUUUAUCAAUUCACAUAACCUUUUUGCCUUUUUCUUUGAUCUCAAUCAUCCAAUCAUACAAAAUAUGUAAACAAGUAAUUGACACCAAAUAAGACAAUACAGUACCGGGUUCACCAUAAUACAAACCAUAAUAAAAGAAACCAUAGUUCAUGCAUACGAGACCGUAACAUAAUUACAUCAAACAUCAUGCUGCAUUUAAUACUGGAAAUUAGAUCAAACAAUAACAGACCAACAUUGUAUCAGACUCGGGCUCCAUUGGCAACCUUAAUCAGUUAUACAUCUAUAAAGUCACAAAAUAUAAUUUAAUUAUUUAUUUAGCUUUAAUACCGUGAUAGGAAACAGAGUAAGGGGUCCUUACCUGUUUUAGGGUCUGAAUUUGACUCUACAGUGUGCCUACAGCCUGUCCCUAAUUUCCCUGAACUUUUCCCAAAAAAUUAAAACGCACUAUCGGUACCUGCACGUGUCCCAAAAAAUCCCAAAUCAGACCUAGAGCCCCUUUCGGCCAAUAUCGAAAUUCCGGCACGACGGCUCGGCCGUGCUCCGGCGAUGGUGCCGCCGCUUGCGGCGGUGAUUCACCUUGGGUUGGCUGUUUUAGGCCAAAUUCGGCCACACUUGCAUCGGUCCCUGAGCUAAAAUAACCCUAGGGCCCUCGGUGGGCCAAAAAAUUACGAAAAACCGAGACUUACCGGCGGCGGCGCUCUCGGGUGCGGCGGCUCCUCCGGCGUGAGUCGCAUUUUGAUGCUUGGCUCUGAUCAACCUAUAGAGAAAAGAACGGUGAUCACAGUGGUAUAAAAUUUACAUCGAACGGAGGCCGGGAAGGGCCUCAUCGGAGGCAAAAAUAGAGGAGGGGCGCGGCGGCGCCGCUGGGCUUCGGUUGGGUUUUUCGGCCGUUUGGCCGGUGGUUUGGCUCCGGUUUGGCCAUAGGCCGACUCAGCAUCGAAAAACGAACAAGGAGAAGAAAAUUUACCUCGAUCGGCGGUCGGAAACUUCCCCGGUGCGGCGGCGGACGGCGGCGGCCGGCUCCUCCGGCGUCUGGUUCUUUUUCUUCGGCGAGGAACUGGUGGCUAGGGUUUUUGUGGUUAGGUGUGGGUGGGGUUAUUUAUACCCUUUGCCUUUUAAUCUCAACCGUCCAUCAAGAUUAAAUCUGGACCGUUAGAUCGCGAUUUAAUUGGGAUUAAAUCUGAGCCAUCCAUCGCGAUG